rnacentral:rRNA from 1 species
CAGUAGCCGCGGUAAUACAGAGGGUGCGAGCGUUAAUCGGAUUUACUGGGCGUAAAGCGUGUGUAGGUUGUUGUUCAAGUCAGUUGUGAAAUCCCUGGGCUCAACCUGGGAACUGCUUCUGAGACUGAACGACUAGAGUACGGUAGAGGGUGGUGGAAUUUCCGGUGUAGCGGUGAAAUGCGUAGAUAUCGGAAGGAACAUCAAUGGCGAAGGCAGCCACCUGGGCCUGUACUGACACUGAGACACGAAAGCGUGGGGAUCAAACAGGAUUAGAGACCCCGGUAGUCCCUGUCUCUUAUAC